rnacentral:rRNA from 1 species
CAGCAGCCGCGGGAAUACGAAGGGUGCAAGCGUUACUCGGAAUUACUGGGCGUAAAGCGUGCGUAGGUGGUGGUUUAAGUCCGUUGUGAAAGCCCUGGGCUCAACCUGGGAAUUGCAGUGGAUACUGGGUCACUAGAGUGUGGUAGAGGAUAGUGGAAUUUCCGGUGUAGCAGUGAAAUGCGUAGAGAUCGGAAGGAACAUCUGUGGCGAAGGCGACUAUCUGGGCCAACACUGACACUGAGGCACGAAAGCGUGGGGAGCAAACAGGAUUAGAUACCCCCGUAGUCCCUGUCUCUAUACA